GGCAGAUGCUCCUCAGAGCUUGCAGUGCGCUCUCUCCAGGCACCAUGGCAUCGCCUUCUCCCACCUGCCUCGCCCAGAGGUCCAGGAGAGAAGAGCCCCAGUUCUGGCUGAUGACUGUCAACUUCUCCUUCUCCUGCAAAGCACCAAUAGUACUCUUGGCUGUGGGGAGGCUGCGAGGGCCAGAAGCUCCUACAGUAAUUGACCUUUUCCCUGCUUUGGGAGAGGAACUACGUGGUACUUACUGGACCUUUUUGCUGUAUGUGCCUGGAAGCGUGAACCAUGGCCCUUGAAGCUCCAGGAAAAGGUGGCGGAGGCCUCAGUAGCAGGUGUGAAACAGGGAUGCCGAGCUCAGUACAGGAGAUGGAAGCAUAGAGUGGACAGCAGUGACGCUGGACAGGCGUGUGAGUGCCCAGGAGGCGUACUUGCAGCAGUGGAGGUAUGAGAGCCACUGCUUUAAUGCUGGUGAGAAGGACUGACUCUUUGAUUCCUGGCCCUGCCAGAACAUGGCAGCACACAGCCUGGCAGAGGAGCUGGAGGAGCUCUCUCCGGUCUGCCCGGACACCUGGGAUGAGGCCAUGAACGUACUGCACUAGUUCUGCUCCUCAUGCAUUAUGCGGUGGGCUGAGAGCAUGCAUGAGUAGCCCAGAUAAAAGAGGAAGAUUCAUCUUGCGCUUCGUGCAGGUGUGGGACACCUGGCCACCUGCCUGCAGUGCCUGUGUGGUCAUCUGCCCGACAGGAGUACUUCCUGAAGACACAGCUGCCAACCAUCUUUGUCAACAAGCAGCAUCCCAGCCACAAAAUGUAGCCGAUGUGAGGAGGCUUUAAUGAAGCUGUUGCAUUCAACAGGUGCAUGAGGAGCUUUGUCCCCCAGGUCGUUGACACCAUCGUGUGCGCUGAUGCUUGAUAUUUGCAAGAAUGCCCAUGCUGCUGAGGAAGAGGCAGCCAACCCUGAGGCUUUCUCCAGGUCUGCAGUCACUGGGGGGACCGGAUUCUUCUUGGCGGUGAGGAUGUGGAGAACUGCAAUUGGGAAGCCCACAUGGUGCAUCCAAGCCUGGCACAAUGAAAGUGGUACGCUCCUGUGUAUUAGAAAUGGCACGAUACAGCUCCGUUCAUGGUAGCAAUGUGGGAAGUUACACUGAACAGUACAUGUAGCGGUGGAAUAUGGAACACCCAUGAGUCAUGCAGUUUCAGGCCUGUCGA